UACAGGGGGUGCAAACGUUGCUCGGAAUCAUUGGGCGUAAAGCGCACGUAGGCGGUUUGUUAUGUCGGAUGUGAAAGCCCUUGGCUCAACUAAGGAAGUGCAUCCGAAACUGGCAAGCUAGAGUACUAAAGAGGGUCGCGGAAUUCCCGGUGUAGAGGUGAAAUUCGUAGAUAUCGGGAGGAACACCGGUGGCGAAGGCGGCGACCUGGGUAGAUACUGACGCUGAGGUGCGAAAGCGUGGGGAGCAAACAGG
rnacentral:rRNA from 1 species